rnacentral:lncRNA from 1 species
GUAGAACGAUCAGGGAAAGUACAUCAAGGGACCCUAGAAGGUCUUUUGAUGCAGGUCGGAGGAGAUCAGUUCAUGAAGUUAUGUCAGCGGAUGUGAUGGAAACAGAGGAGGAUAACCAAAGAAGAGAUAGUAGUUUGGGCAUGAGUAUGUCAGUAGAGGAAAUGGGAGAGUCCCAAGGAGGCACUCAGGCCUCGGGCUUUGUUC